rnacentral:misc_RNA from 1 species
AAGUCGUAACAAGGUUUCCGUAGGUGAACCUGCGGAAGGAUCAUUACUUGGCCUUGGGCCGCUCACGGGAGACCGUCGCUUGCGGCGGCGCUCUCGAGGGUGCUUAGCCCUUGAUCACUACCUUGACUAUGCGCACCUUUGUUGUUCCCUCGGCAGGACGCUUCGCGUUCUGCCGCAAGGAACCCCUUAAACCUUUUGCAAUCAGCAUUAAUCUUCUGAAACAAACCUAAUUAUUUACAACUUUUAACAAUGGAUCUCUUGGUUCUG